AAUAUAUAUAUAGCAAUAGGAUAACAGAAAAGCAUCAAGAGAUUAUAUUGAUCUACUGUAACAACAUAUCAUCUGAUACAGCUACAUACAUCCUAUCACAUUGGCAAAAAGAAUUAUAACAGUUCCCAUCCCUCGUCCCCUAUAACGUUAGUGCAACAACAGAGAAACCAAUACAACUGCAUACAUCCUAUCCGUCUUGAACAAAAGGGACGAAUGGAGAUGAUUUUCCAGCCCCAGACCCUUUUUCCAUUUCGUCUCUUGAUCUGUUGGCCACUACAUUGCAAUGAUGAUCUAUGUAUCACUAACUCUACCGUGCAUCUAAUGUUCAAGAAACAAAACUGGGGACUCACGACUUCAGAAAAGAAAGCCGUGUCUGAGAUCAUUUGAUUCUUCUCUUGGAUUCCCCAUAAGCAACAACCCCCAUGACAGUCAUUGCAUAGCCCGCGAUGCCAAUAAAAGUAACAGGAUUACGGAAAAGAAGUAUUGAGA
rnacentral:misc_RNA from 1 species